rnacentral:rRNA from 1 species
AUGUACAACACGUAUGCCGGCAAGAUUGGGUUUACUAUCAGAAAGAGCCAGACAAAGCGCCGCCAAGAUCGAACUAUAUCCCAGAAAUAUAUAGUUUGCAAUAAUCAGGGAGAACGAGAAACCGAGUCAUCAAAGUCCACUACAAGAACAGGUUGUCAGGCUCGUGUUCAAUUUAGUGUCAGUAGAGAGGGGAUUUGGACAGUGCAAAAGGUUGUAACCGAUCACAAUCAUUAUCUUGCUAGUCCCAAUAAGUUACACAAGCUGAGAUCCCAACGACGUGUUGUAGAAGCGGACAGAGCGCUAAUUGGCCAGAUACGUGAAGCUGGGAUGAAGCCAUCUCAGGUGUAUGAUUUCAUGGUAGCGUUCUAUGGAGGAGUCGACAAAGUGCCAUUCUCAAAAAUGGAUUGCAAUAAUGAGAUUGUAAGGAAAGGAAGAAGUAUUUAG